rnacentral:rRNA from 1 species
CCCUUAGAUGUUCUGGGCUGCACGCGCGCUACACUGAUGCACUCAACGAGUUUACGACCUUGCCCGAGAGGAUUGGGUAAUCUUUUUAAAAUGCAUCGUGAUGGGGAUAGAUUAUUGCAAUUAUUAAUCUUCAACGAGGAAUUCCUAGUAAGCGCGAGUCAUCAGCUCGUGCUGAUUACGUCCCUGCCCUUUGUACACACCGCCCGUCGCUCCUACCGAUUGAGUGCUCAGGUGAAUAAUUCGGACUGCAGCAAUGUUCGGAUCCCGAACGUUGCAGCGGAAAGUUUAGUGAACCUUAUCACUUAGAGGAAGGAGAAGUCGUAACA